CCUACGGGAGGCAGCAGUGAGGAAUAUUGGUCAAUGGACGCAAGCCUGAACCAGCCAUGCCGCGUGCAGGAAGACGGCCCUAUGAGUUGUAAACUGCUUUUAUACGAGGGUAAACGCAAAUACGCAUAUCUGUUUGCAUGUAUCUUACGAAUAAGGAUCGGCUAACUCCGUGCCAGCAGCCGCGGUAAUACGGAGGAUUCAAGCGUUAUCCGGAUUUAUUGGGUUUAAAGGGUGCGUAGGCGGUCUGAUAAGUUAGAGGUGAAAUCCCGAGGCUCAACCGCGGAAUUGCAGCUGAUACUGGUCGGCUAGAGAGUAGUAGCGGUAGGCGGAAUGCAUGGUGUAGCGGUGAAAUGCUUAGAGAUCAGAAAGAACACCGAUGGCGAAGGCAGCCUACCAGGCUACUUCUGACGUUGAGGCACGAAAGCGUGGGGAGCAAACAGGAUUAGAUACCCGAGUAGUC
rnacentral:rRNA from 1 species